rnacentral:rRNA from 1 species
AUACGUAUGUCGCAAGCGUUAUCCGGAAUUAUAGGGCGUAAAGCGAGUCUAGGCGGCUUGUUAAGUCAGAUGUGAAAAUGCGGGGCUCAACUCCGUAUUGCGUUUGAAACUGGCAGGCUAGAGUACUGGAGAGGUGGGCGGAACUACAAGUGUAGAGGUGAAAUUCGUAGAUAUUUGUAGGAAUGCCGAUAGUGAAGACAGCUCACUGGACAGAUACUGACGCUAAAGCUCGAAAGCGUGGGGAGCGAACAGGAUUAGAAACCCCAGUAGUCC